rnacentral:rRNA from 1 species
GGUUCGGGCUCUUCUUGCGCAGCUUAGGUGGAAGGCGUUGAAAGAGAGCUUCCGGGUUCUCUGGAGCCACCAGUGAGAUACCACUCUGGAAGAGCUAGAAUUCUAAUCUCGACCCCUUAGCGGGGCGUGUGACAGUUUCAGGUGGGCAGUUUGACUGGGGCGGUCGCCUCCUAAAAGGUAACGGAGGCGUGCAAAGGUUCCCUCCGGCUGACGGAAAUCAGCUGUAGAGUGUAAAGGCAGAAGGGAGCUUGACUGCGAGACCUACAAGUCGAGCAGGGACGAAAGUCGGCCUUAGUGAUCCGACGGUGCCGUGUGGAAGGGCCGUCGCUCAACGGAUAAAAGUUACUCUAGGGAUAACA